UUAUUUCAUAGACUCACUUCUUAAUAUUCAGAAAUUAUCCAUUAUUCUUCAACAACAAAGAAACAAAGAGACAAAGAAAUAAAGAGGUAGCACCAAGCUUACCCUGACUCAUGACUAUCACAAUCUGGCCCCCAUACUAACUUCUACAACUCCUAUAUACUUACUCUCUACUCUUAGAUUCUAACUGAAUUCUGUAAUUAACCGCUUUUAAUAACUAAAUUAACCAUCCGUCCUCCUAAAUUGACUAUUCUAUAGACUAUAAGUCUAUUUUACUAAUAUCUUAUAGAAACGAACUAAUAUCUAUUCUACAUAGCCC
rnacentral:lncRNA from 1 species